rnacentral:lncRNA from 1 species
CUAGCUCAGCAUUUGCCAUACUACAUUGAAAUUAUUUCCUUAUGUGCCCAUCACUCCCCGUAGAUUGCAAACUCCUAGAGAAGGGCUCAACAGUGAGUGCUGAGGCUGCACAGAGGAGGAAGGCAGCACAAUGAUGGAAGGCUUCCUAAAGAGGAUAACACUAACAAAGUUGACCUUAGAAUUGGAGUGCCUGGGUUAGAACCCUGCUGGUACCACCUGCUUACUGGCAUGCUUCUGAUGUGAGUUCAGGAGAAGACACUGGCAAGGACAGCAAAGAACAGGAGAACACUCUAGCUUCCCUGAUAGCAUUCAAGGUGCUGUCCAAAG